UACGUAGGCAGCGAGCGUUGUUCGGAGUUACUGGGCGUAAAGAGUGCGUAGGCGGUUUUCUAAGUUUGGUGUGAAAUCUCCCGGCUUAACUGGGAGGGUGCGCCGAAGACUGGAAGGCUUGAGUAUGGGAGAGGUAAGCGGAAUUCCUGGUGUAGCGGUGAAAUGCGUAGAUAUCAGGAGGAACACCGGUGGUGUAGACGGCUUACUGGACCAUAACUGACGCUGAGACACGAAAGCGUGGGUAGCAAACAGG
rnacentral:rRNA from 1 species